rnacentral:rRNA from 1 species
UAGGGAAUCUUCGGCAAUGGACGGAAGUCUGACCGAGCAACGCCGCGAGUGUGAAGAAGGUUUUCGGAUCGUAAAGCUCUGUUGUUAGAGAAGAACGUUGGUAGGAGUGGAAAAUCUACCAAGUGACGGUAACUAACCAGAAAGGGACGGCUAACUACGUGCCAGCAGCCGCGGUAAUACGUAGGUUCCGAGCGUAGUCCGGAUUUAUUGGGCGUAAAGCGAGCGCAGGCGGUUCUUUAAGUCUGAAGUUAAAGGCAGUGGCUUAACCAUUAUACGCUUUGGAAACUGGAGGACUUGAGUGCAGAAUGGAAGAGUGGAAUUCCAUGCGUAGCGGUGAAAUGCGUAGAUAUAUGGAGGAACACCGGUGGCGAAAGCGGCUCUCUGGACUGUAACUGACGCUGAGGCUCGAAAGCGUGGGGAGCAAACAGG